GUGCCAGCCGCCGCGGUAAUACGAAGGGGGCUAGCGUUGCUCGGAAUCACUGGGCGUAAAGGGUGCGUAGGCGGGUCUUUAAGUCAGGGGUGAAAUCCUGGAGCUCAACUCCAGAACUGCCUUUGAUACUGAGGAUCUUGAGUUCGGGAGAGGUGAGUGGAACUGCGAGUGUAGAGGUGAAAUUCGUAGAUAUUCGCAAGAACACCAGUGGCGAAGGCGGCUCACUGGCCCGAUACUGACGCGGAGGCACGAAAGCGUGGGGAGCAAACAGGAUUAGAUACCCUGGUAGUCCACGCCGUAAACGAUGAGUGCCAGCCGUUGGAGGGUUUACUCUCCAGUGGCGCAGCUAACGCUUUAAGCAUUCCGCCUGGGGAGUACGGUCGCAAGAUUAAAACUCAAAUGAAUUGACGGGG
rnacentral:rRNA from 1 species